CCUAGAAUGGCUGAGUCAUUAAGGUGUGGGACUUAAACUCCUGUGGAUGUGUGCCCCAUGUGGGUUUGAGUCCCACUUUUAGUA
rnacentral:tRNA from 1 species